UUUCCGUAGGUGAACCUGCGGAAGGAUCAUUAAAAAUGAAGCCGGGAAACUGGUCCUUCUCACCCUUGAUUAUCUCAAUUUGUUGCUUUGGUGGGCCGCGCAAGCACCGGCUUCGGCUGGAUCGUGCCCGCCAGAGGACCACAACUCUGUAUUAUAUGUCGUCUGAGUACUAUAAAAUAGUUAAAACUUUCAACAACGGAUCUCUUGGUUCUG
rnacentral:misc_RNA from 1 species